AGAGUUGAUCAUGGCUCAGGAUGAACGCUAGCUACAGGCUAACACAUGCAAGUCGAGGGGCAGCAUUGGGGUAGCAAUACUCAGAUGGCGACCGGCGCACGGGUGAGUAACACGUAUCCAACCUGCCGCUUACUCGGGGAUAGCCUUUCGAAAGAAAGAUUAAUACCCGAUGGUAUAAAGAGUUCGCAUGUUCUCUUUACUAAAGAAUUUCGGUAAGCGAUGGGGAUGCGUUCCAUUAGAUAGUUGGCGGGGUAACGGCCCACCAAGUCUACGAUGGAUAGGGGUUCUGAGAGGAAGGUCCCCCACAUUGGAACUGAGACACGGUCCAAACUCCUACGGGAGGCAGCAGUGAGGAAUAUUGGUCAAUGGACGCGAGUCUGAACCAGCCAAAGUAGCGUGAAGGAUGACUGCCCUAUGGGUUGUAAACUUCUUUUAUAAGGGAAUAAAGUGAGGGACGUGUCCCUUUUUGUAUGUACCUUAUGAAUAAGGAUCGGCUAACUCCGUGCCAGCAGCGGC
rnacentral:rRNA from 1 species